UGGUGCUAGUGGCAAAGUUUGGGAAUGAUAGAAAGGCUGUUGAAGAGAAUUGCGGACGGGAUCUGGAAUGCCACUGCUUGGGGGAUUACAGUAACAUUUAAACGUUGUUUUCUGUAAACACCAAACUCUAGCGCUCGAAUUCAGCGGGGUGUAAUUAAAGGUACGCAAUCCCGAGACAUGUCGGAGGACCUGAGCUCCCAACCCUGGUCCAUCAACAAGGAUGACUACGAGCUGCAGGAGGUGAUCGGCAGUGGAGCUACAGCUGUGGUUCAGGCUGCUUACUGUGUGCCCAGGAAGGAGAAAGUGGCCAUCAAACGCAUCAAUCUGGAGAAAUGCCAGACCAGCAUGGAUGAGCUCCUGAAAGAGAUUCAGGCGAUGAGCCAGUGUCACCAUCCCAACAUUGUGUCGUACUACACCUCGUUUGUGGUGAAGGAUGAGCUGUGGUUGGUCAUGAAGCUGCUCAGUGGUGGCUCGGUGUUGGACGUCAUCAAGCACAUCAUUUCAAAGGGUGAACACAAGACCGGUGUGCUGGACGAGCCUAGUAUAGCUACAGUGCUGAAAGAAGUGCUUCAGGGUCUCGAGUACCUUCACAAAAAUGGACAGAUUCAUAGGGAUCUUAAAGCUGGAAACAUCCUGCUGGGAGAAGAUGGAUCAGUGCAAAUCGCAGAUUUCGGUGUAAGUGCCUUCUUAGCCACCGGUGGUGACAUGACUCGAAAUAAAGUGCGCAAGACGUUUGUGGGGACGCCAUGUUGGAUGGCUCCAGAGGUGAUGGAGCAGGUCAAAGGUUACGACUUCAAAGCAGACAUCUGGAGUUUUGGGAUCACAGCCAUUGAACUGGCCACAGGCGCAGCUCCGUACCACAAAUACCCUCCGAUGAAGGUGUUGAUGUUGACUCUCCAGAAUGAUCCGCCUUGCCUCGAGACUGGCAUCACAGACAAAGAGAUGGUGAAGAAAUAUGGAAAGUCUUUGAGGAAGAUGAUCUCGCAGUGUUUGCAGAAAGAGCCGGAGAAAAGGCCGACAUCAUCAGAGCUCUUAAAACAUAAAUUCUUCCAGAAAGCCAAGAAUAAUGAAUUUCUGCAGGAGAAAUUAUUACACAGGGCACCUACAAUUACGGAGAGAGCCAGAAAGGUACGGCGAGUUCCAGGCUCCAGUGGGAGACUCCAUAAAACAGAAGAUGGAGAGUGGGAAUGGAGUGAUGAUGAACUCGAUGAGGAGAGUGAGGAGGGCAAAGCUGCUGUCGCUGCCUUACGGUCACCAAGAGUAAAAGAAGGAGAGAAUGCAGAGGUCUUCCAGCCAUUUGGCAGCCAUCUCCAGCCUGAACUACCUCAAGCUGCUGGGCAAAGUCCAGCCAACACUCAAAACACUGGCCAAACUACUGGCUCGUCACAGGCUCAGAGCACAGCCCCAAACCCCACACAGGCUUCAGUUCCAGGAGGUGAUGCCUCCCAAUCUCCAAUCAGUUUAGUUUUAAGGUUAAGAAACUUGAAAAAAGAGCUGAAUGACAUACGAUUUGAGUUCAUGCCUGGAAGAGAUACGGCAGAUGGGGUUUCUCAGGAACUGGUAUCAGCUGGCUUGGUUGAUGGGAAAGAUUUAGUUAUAGUGGCUGCUAAUCUGCAGAAGAUAGUGGAAGAGCCUCAUUCCAAUAAAAAUGUCACAUUUAAACUGGCUUCUGGAGUGGAGGGCUCAGAAAUUCCGGAUGACAACAAACUCUUGGGAUUUGCUCAGCUCAGCAUCAGCUAAACUUGAGCUCUGUGCGGGACCAUGACUUGCCUACAAAUGUGAAAACAAACCAACACUACCAACAAAACCACACAUUGAUAUAGAUUUUUCUCCUCUUUCAAUUGCCCUAAAGAAACCACUGUUGCCAAAGAGAAAAAGCGCCAGCCCAUAGGAUUACAAAUGGAGUUGCACAAAGAAUUUGUAGGAAUCCAUUAAAAUAAAGUUUACCGUUUCUUCGUACAAGGAUGCAAUUAUCAUAACCGGAUAUAACCUUAAUAUUCUUUUAAUGCUUCUCUUUCUUUGUUUCUAUGUUUGUCCUACUUUCUGAACUGAUGCCCAAAUAAUGAAAGCUGUAAAAAUGCCUCCAUUAUAACUACUGAGUGCUUAUUAGGGAGUGAAACUCAAAGGGUUUAUAGAGAAAAUUAGGUAUUGCUGCAUCUAUAUCAGUUUUUAAUUUAGUUUUUCUAUGGCUUUAAAGAGCUAGCAUGUUUUAUCACACUGCUUGCAUUAUUUACUAAAGAGCUUAUUCAUCUUGAAAUGAUCGUUUAGAACAGGGGUGUCCAAACUCUGUCCUGGAGGGCCUGGAGGGAGGGUGUCCUGCAUAGUUUAGCUUCAGCUUCCUUCAACACAGGUUCCUGGAAGUUUCUUGUAUACCUAGUAAGAGGUUAAUUAGCUGGUUCAGGUGUGUUUAAUUGAAGUUGAAACUAAAAUAUGCAGGACACCGGCCCUCCAGGACCGAGUUUUGACACCCCUGAUUUAGAAUCAUUUACUUAUCACAUGCUUUUCCAAACCCAUGAGGCUUAUUAUACCUUUAAAGCAGAAAUGAAGAUAAAAAUUUAGAUUUGAGAGAUUUUAAUCCCUCCUUUGAAAGUCUGUUGAGCCUAAAUGCUGUGUGUGUGUGUGUCUGUGUGUGUGUGUGUGUCUGUCUGUCUGUGUGUGUUAACCCAGAUGAAUUGAGUGGUUUAAUGCAGGCUUUCUAAAGACACAAUCAAUUUGUGUGAUGGACAGGUUUAGUUCAGGCUUCUAUUUACAUAUAAACGUUUUUCACUAUGAACUAUGAGUUUGCAGUAUUCAUAUUUGGUCCCGGUAGCUCAUACUUGCUUGACAUGUGAGCCAAUGAGGUUUGUUCUUGCAUGUCACAUGGAAUGGUUGAGCUUUCUCAAGAACCAAUGAGGUUUGUUCUUGAAUCAUUUAUGUUUCAGCUUAUGCUUGAUCAAUAUAUACCUUUGUUUAAGUUAGGUCUAUUCAUAUGAAGCAACCAAUACUUGUAUAAAACUGAUUGAUUCAUAUGGCUUUAAUAUAUUUUUAAGGAUUCUGAAGGGUCAGUUUACUCAAAAAUGAAAUCCUGUAAUUAAUUUAUUCAUCUUCAGAACACAGAAUAAAACAUUUUAGAUGAAUGUGAGAGCUCCCUCAUUCUCCAUAGACCGUAAUGAACAUGAGACGCUCAAAGUCCAGAAGAGGAAGUAAAAACAUCAAAUCAUUCCAUGUAGCUGCAGUGGUUCAACUAUAAUCAUACAAAGCUUCGAGAACACUUUUGUGUGGCAAAAUCUGUAAAAAUGACUUUGUUCGGCAAUGUCUUCUUCAUCAGAUCAAGCUUCUUGAUUAGUACGGGCUAUGCUAGUGUGUCAUUUCGCCUAAUGGGAAAAUUACCAUUUUCUGCACACAAAAGUCUUCCUGGAGCAUCUUAUGAUUGCAGUUGGACCACUGAGGUCACAUUGAAUGAUGACAAAGUUUUGUAUUCAUUUUCUGAACUUUGAACUUCUCAGGACCCUUGCUGUCAAUGUAGUGUCAGAGAAUUGAUUAAGAAUGAAAGUCUCUAUGCAUUGGAAUGACGUGAGGGUGAGGGUGAGCAAAUAACUUUUUUUGAGGGGUGAACUAACUCUUUAAAACAUGUUUUGAAUAAACACUUUCAAUGGAGGGACAGAAAUCUCUUAUAUGUUAUUAAAAAUAUCCAUUUGCAUUUUGCAGAUGAAUGAAAGUCGACUAAGUAAUGCCUGAAUUUUUUUUUCUCCAAAAACAAACCAUUUAAGCUACAGAAUCUGGUUGAAAUUUCAGUGAUUACGCUUGUUUAGCUAAAAAAAAAAAAAAACAUUUAGUAGUUUCUCGCCUUUCAUUUCACGCUGGCAAGUGCACUUUAUCACAGAUUUCAAAUGUAAUGAUGUGUUCAGUGUCAUCAAGCCUCAUCAAACACUCCUGAAGGCUGUUUUCAUUAGACUUACUCGCUUUUCAUUUUUUAACUGUCUCUCAUUGUGGGCACAUCUGCAAAUAUUGCUAUCCCAUGCUGCUCUAAAAGUUAUUGCCUUAAUGUUUCUACAAACAUAUCGCUCUAUUUUUUAGAUCUUGCAUAAAUUUGUGCAUUUUGGUUUUAAUAUAUGUGACUUCUGCUCAUUUUUUGGAAAGUAUCUCUGUCAGUGAUUUUUCUUUUUUGAAAAGUUGAGGUACCCUUGGUGUUUAGCUCUUUCUGCUCUGGAUUGGAACUCUUUCAUGUGUAUCUCUGAACUCGAUUGAAUGUGUAAAUAAUGUCAUUUGCCAUUGGUUUGAUUUUAUAUGGGAUGUUUCACUCAUGGCCUUUGUGUUCUUUAUAAAUAAGGUGACGGGAGGAGGUGGCGUUCACUACUAAAGACACAUUGUUUUUUGGGAAUGAGCAAAAGAAAUACAGUAGGAGUGAUGUAAAGAAAGCUUUAAUAACGCACAAGUCUUUUUUUCCAUUUUCAUUUCUUUGCAAUCACAACACUGCUGUCCACGAAAAAAUAGGAAACUGUUAAUAAAGUUGCCUGCAUUG